GGGUUGUGAGGUUAAGCGAACAAGCGUACACGGUGGAUGCCCUGGCAGUCAGAGGCGAUGAAGGACGUGCUAAUCUGCGAAAAGCGCCGGUAAGGUGAUAUGAACCGUUAUAACCGGCGAUGUCCGAAUGGGGAAACCCGGUGCACUUCGGUGCAUCAUCGUUAGCUGAAUACAUAGGCUAACGAGGCGAACCGGGGGAACUGAAACAUCUAAGUACCCCGAGGAAAAGAAAUCAACCGAGAUUCCCCCAGUAGCGGCGAGCGAACGGGGAACAGCCCAGAGCCUGAAUCAGCUUGUGUGUCAGUGGAACGGUCUGGAAAGGCCGGCGAUACAGGGUGACAGCCCCGUACACGAAGGCACACAGGCUGUGAGCUCGAUGAGUAGGGCGGGACACGUGAUAUCCUGUCUGAAGAUGGGGGGACCAUCCUCCAAGGCUAAAUACUCCUGACUGACCGAUAGUGAACCAGUACCGUGAGGGAAAGGCGAAAAGAACCCCGGCGAGGGGAGUGAAACAGAACCUGAAACCGUGUACGUACAAGCAGUGGGAGCCUUCGUAAGAGGGUGACUGCGUACCUUUUGUAUAAUGGGUCAGCGACUUAUAUUCUGUAGCAAGGUUAACCGUAUAGGGGAGCCGAAGGGAAACCGAGUCUUAACCGGGCGUUAAGUUGCAGGGUAUAGACCCGAAACCCGGUGAUCUAGCCAUGGGCAGGUUGAAGGUUGGGUAACACUAACUGGAGGACCGAACCGACUAAUGUUGAAAAAUUAGCGGAUGACCUGUGGCUGGGGGUGAAAGGCCAAUCAAACCGGGAGAUAGCUGGUUCUCCCCGAAAGCUAUUUAGGUAGCGCCUCGUGAACUCAUCUCCGGGGGUAGAGCACUGUUUCGGCUAGGGGGCCAUCCCGGCUUACCAACCCGAUGCAAACUGCGAAUACCGGAGAAUGUUAUCACGGGAGACACACGGCGGGUGCUAACGUCCGUCGUGAAGAGGGAAACAACCCAGACCGCCAGCUAAGGUCCCAAAGUCAUGGUUAAGUGGGAAACGAUGUGGGAAGGCCCAGACAGCCAGGAUGUUGGCUUAGAAGCAGCCAUCAUUUAAAGAAAGCGUAAUAGCUCACUGGUCGAGUCGGCCUGCGCGGAAGAUGUAACGGGGCUAAACCAUGCACCGAAGCUGCGGCAGCGACACUGUGUGNNNNNNNNNNNNNNNNNNNNNNNNNNNNNNNNNNNNNNNNNNNNNNNNNNNNNNNNNNNNNNNNNNNNNNNNNNNNNNNNNNNNNNNNGAAGGUUAAGGCUGAGGCGUGAUGACGAGGCACCACGGUGCUGAAGUGACAAAUGCCCUGCUUCCAGGAAAAGCCUCUAAGCAUCAGGUAACAUCAAAUCGUACCCCAAACCGACACAGGUGGUCAGGUAGAGAAUACCAAGGCGCUUGAGAGAACUCGGGUGAAGGAACUAGGCAAAAUGGUGCCGUAACUUCGGGAGAAGGCACGCUGACAUGUAGGUGAAGCCCCUGCGGGUGGAGCUGAAGUCAGUCGAAGAUACCAGCUGGCUGCAACUGUUUAUUAAAAACACAGCACUGUGCAAACACGAAAGUGGACGUAUACGGUGUGACGCCUGCCCGGUGCCGGAAGGUUAAUUGAUGGGGUUAUCGCAAGAGAAGCUCCUGAUCGAAGCCCCGGUAAACGGCGGCCGUAACUAUAACGGUCCUAAGGUAGCGAAAUUCCUUGUCGGGUAAGUUCCGACCUGCACGAAUGGCGUAAUGAUGGCCAGGCUGUCUCCACCCGAGACUCAGUGAAAUUGAACUCGCUGUGAAGAUGCAGUGUACCCGCGGCAAGACGGAAAGACCCCGUGAACCUUUACUACAGCUUGACACUGAACAUUGAGCCUUGAUGUGUAGGAUAGGUGGGAGGCUUUGAAGCGUGGACGCCAGUCUGCGUGGAGCCGACCUUGAAAUACCACCCUUUAAUGUUUGAUGUUCUAACCUGGCGCCGUGAUCCGGCGUGGGGACAGUGUCUGGUGGGUAGUUUGACUGGGGCGGUCUCCUCCCAAAGUGUAACGGAGGAGCACGAAGGUCAGCUAAUCCUGGUCGGACAUCAGGAGGUUAGUGCAAUGGCAUAAGCUGGCUUGACUGCGAGAGUGACGGCUCGAGCAGGUGCGAAAGCAGGUCAUAGUGAUCCGGUGGUUCUGUAUGGAAGGGCCAUCGCUCAACGGAUAAAAGGUACUCCGGGGAUAACAGGCUGAUACCGCCCAAGAGUUCAUAUCGACGGCGGUGUUUGGCACCUCGAUGUCGGCUCAUCACAUCCUGGGGCUGAAGUAGGUCCCAAGGGUAUGGCUGUUCGCCAUUUAAAGUGGUACGCGAGCUGGGUUUAGAACGUCGUGAGACAGUUCGGUCCCUAUCUGCCGUGGGCGCUGGAGAAUUGAGGGGGGCUGCUCCCAGUACGAGAGGACCGGAGUGGACGCAUCACUGGUGUUCGGGUUGUCAUGCCAAUGGCACUGCCCGGUAGCUAAAUGCGGAAGAGAUAAGUGCUGAAAGCAUCUAAGCACGAAACUUGCCCCGAGAUGAGUUCUCCCUGAGACUGUAAGUCUCCUGAAGGAACGUUGAAGACGACGACGUUGAUAGGCCGGGUGUGUAAGCGCAGCGAUGCGUUGAGCUAACCGGUACUAAUGAACCGUGAGGCUUAACCUUACAACGCCAAAGAAGU
rnacentral:rRNA from 1 species